rnacentral:lncRNA from 1 species
CAUUCUGGGGUGCCGUCUUACCCGUGUCAAGCCAUUCUGGGGUGCUGACUACCCAUCGGUCCUAACAACCGAUCCUCGGGGACUAUUUCACCCCUACUACUACGAUCACAUAUAACAUAACAAGCCAGCAUGCGAACAUAACAUCACGUACUAUCAGACAUUUCUGGGGUGUCUGACUACCCUUCGGUCCCAACAACCGAACUCUACUACUAUCACAUAUAACGUAUCAUGCUAGCAUACAACAUAACAGGUAGUAGCAAUCAAGAUGAUAUCACAAAGACAAUCAUCCAACAUACAACUCCUACUGGUGGGCCGGCAUUGUGGCCUUAGACCCACCGCUACUGGAAGGUAACUCACCUCAAAGUAGCUGCUGAACUGAUCGGGAACUAACUGACUGCUGCUGCUCCGGGAGUCCUCCGGCUGCAAUUUCCACGACAUACUCAAUCAAACACUGCUAACUGUCCUUUAGGUAAAAUGACCAUUUUACCCCUGGAUUAACUCUAAGCCAAAGCUGGAGUCAACUUUCAGUUGACCCGACUCGCCGAGUGGAUCACCACUCGCCGAGUCCCUAGCAAACCAAUGUCCUGGGUCCCUGGUUCUACUCGUCGAGUCGGGCUAUGACUCGACGAGUUCACCUUCUAACUGCCAUUCAACACCUUCAUCCUACUCGCCGAGUUGUAUGAACAACUCGUCGAGUUCAUCUUCAUCCGAUGAACACUUUAUGCUAAGACUCGCCGAGUUGUAUGAACAACUCGCCGAGUCUGUUCUUGAGCUAUGAAGAUUGCCUUGGACUCGCCGAGUCAGGGCAUUGACUCGCCGAGUCCUAACAUGGGUGAGUUCAGCUCCCAACUCACCGAGUCACCCCCUGUGACUCAAGGCUCAACUCGACACAUGAAGAAGGGACCAAUUCGGUGACUCGCGACCAGACUCGCCGAGUCACCUAUGCGACUCGCCGAGUCGUCGCCAUGCACUCCUUAAAUAUACCGAUUUGCUCGGUUCCAGACCAUGCCAUUCAUAGAUCUGGACUUCUAGGACACGAAUCACACGUAAAGUUUCCAACUUUACGUGUGGAUAUUCACCAAUAUGGAUUAUAAGGCUCAAAAUGUCUCAAAAUGGUAGAUCUAGGGCUAACAAGCCUCAUGAGGCCAAAAAGCUAACAGAUCUGAGCUCCUGGAGCUCAAUCUUACAUAGAUCCAAAGGCCAAACGCCUUAUUACAACAUAUAAUGAACAUGCAAACUUGGGGAAUUGACCAAGAAGGACCCAAAUGAAGUUUUAAGCAUAGAAUCAAGGGGAAAACGGGUUAUACCUCAAAGGAAAUGUUGAAAUGACACAAGGAUGGCUGAUCUCCUUCUCCUCUUCUUGAUCUACUCCUCUUACUCUUCAAAACCUUCAAGAACACACCAAGAACACCUCAAACUCUCAAGGAAACAAGGGAAAACGAUGUAGGGGGAGUUCUGGGGGUGAAUGGGGACGAGUUGGGGCGGAAUGAGGGUUUAAAUAGGGUGCAAACCCUUGAAACUUAGGGUUUCAUCCCGCAGCGGUGACUCGCCGAGUCCAGGAUAUGGACUCGUCGAGUCGCCUACUUAAAACGCGUCCUGAGUCUCGUCCCUACUCGGCGAGUCGGACCCUAUGACUCGCCGAGUCUAAGGCUAAAUUAGGGCAAUGCUCAAAUAAAAUUCACAUACCGGAAACCAGGUGCUACAAAUCUCCCCCACUUAUUUUAGACUUCGUCCUCGAAGUCUGCUGCCUGAUCCUGAAACAGCUCGGGGUAGUGCUCCAUCAUCUCGUCUACCGGCUCCCAAGUCCACUCUGAACCCUUGCGGUGCUGCCAUUGCACCUUCACUAGCUCCACCCUCUUGUUCCUUAAAUCCUUCGACUUCCUGUCGAGGAUUGCGACUGGGCGCUCGAUGUAGUUCAGGCUGUCAUCAACCUGAAUAUCCUCCAAAGGUACUACUGCAGAAUCGUCCACUAGGCACUUCCGCAACUGCGAAACAUGGAAAGUGCUGUGGAUCUGGCUAAGCUCGGCUGGCAGAUCCAGCCUAUAUGCUACCUUGCCCACCCGGGCUAAGACCCUGAACGGUCCGAUGAAUCGCGGGCCCAACUUGCCCCGCUUCCUGAAUCGGAUGACGCCUUUCCACGGUGACACCUUCAGGAGGACCAUAUCCCCGACCUGGAACUCUAAAUCGGAUCGACGCUUGUCGGCAUAACUUUUCUGUCGACUCUGAGCAGUCUGAAGCCUGCUCCGGACCUGCUGUAUCCUCUCAGUCGUCUUGAGCACCACUUCGGUGCUUCCCAUAACUCUCUGGCCAACCUCACCCCAGCAUAUCGGGGUCCUACACCUCCGUCCGUACAACAUCUCGAAGGGAGGGCGGUCGAUACUCGCGUGAUAGCUGUUGUUGUAGGAGAACUCAGCCAAAGGAAGAUAGGUAUCCCAGCUACCACCGAAAUCCAGAACACACGCCCGCAACAUGUCCUCCAAAGUCUGGAUGGUCCGCUCACUCUGUCCAUCUGUCUGCGGGUGAAAGGCGGUGCUGAAAUGCAGACGAGUGCCCAACUCGUCAUGGAAUCUCUUCCAAAACCUGGAAGUAAAACGCACAUCCCUGUCCGAGAUCACCGAUACUGGCACCCCAUGCCGUGCCACAAUCUCCCUGAUAUAGAUGUCGGCCAAUUUCUCGGCCGAUAUGCUCUCCGGAAUCGGAAUAAAGUGAGCACUCUUGGUCAAUCUAUCCACGAUGACCCAAAUCGAAUCCACUCCACGCGCGGUCCUGGGAAGCUUCGUGAUAAAAUCCAUCGUGAUAUCUUCCCACUUCCACAGUGGAAUGUCCAACGGCUGCAUCUUGCCAUGCGGCCUCUGAUGUUCGGCCUUGACCUUCCUGCAGGUCAAGCACCGCUCGACGUACCAUGCCACAUCCCGCUUCAUGCAGGGCCACCAAUAGUCUAGACGAAGAUCCCUAUACAUCUUCGUCGCCCCGGGAUGAAUAGAGAAUCGGGACUUGUGCGCCUCCUCCAUCAAAAUCUGGCGCACGCCCCCGUGAUACGGCACCCACACCCUAUGGUGUAGUGUCAAUAACCCUCGGCUAUCAUAAUCGAAGGAGGAAACCUGACCUACUACGCGCUCGUUCUUCCGAUGCUCCUCCUUGAUAGCCUCCUGUUGAGCUUCCCGAAUCUGCUCCAACAGGGGAGUCACCACAGUCAUCCUCAAACAGGCGUCCCUGAUCGGCGCCGUCUUGCGGCUAAGCGCAUCGGCCACCACAUUGGCCUUUCCCGGGUGGUAAAGGAUCUCGCAAUCAUAAUCCUUCACCACAUCCAACCACCGACGCUGCCUCAUGUUCAGAUUCGGCUGGUCCAUGAGGUACCUCAAGCUCUUGUGGUCCGUGUAGAUGGUACACCGAACCCCAUAGAGGUAAUGUCGCCAAAUCUUGAGGGCAAAUACCACCGCCCCCAACUCCAAAUCGUGCGUCGGGUAGUUCGCCUCGUGAGGCUUGAGCUGCCUCGAAGCGUAAGCAAUGACAUGCCCCCUUUGCAUCAGCACCGCGCCCAACCCAGAAAUGGACGCAUCGCAAUAAACCACGAAAUCCUCUACGCCCUCUGGCAGGGCUAAGAUCGGCGCCUCACACAAUCUCUGUCUCAGCGUCUCAAAUGCAGCCUGCUGCUCGGGUCCCCACCGAAAGACCACGGCUUUCUUCGUCAGCCGCGUCAGGGGCACGGCUAUCUUGGAGAAAUCCUGGAUAAAUCUCCGAUAGUAGCCUGCCAAUCCUAGGAAGCUCCGAAUCUCAGAUGGGGACUUCGGAACCUCCCAUCUCAUCACGGCCUCGACCUUGGCCGGAUCGACCAGAAUCCCGUUCUGGUUGACGAGGUGCCCCAGAAAUUGCACCUCGCGCAACCAAAACUCACACUUGGAGAACUUGGCAUACAAGCUCUCCCUCCUCAGGGUCUCUAACACCUCUCUCAAAUGCUCCUCAUGUUCCUCCCGGGUCUUGGAAUAAACCAAGAUAUCAUCGAUAAAGACUAUCACAGACCGGUCCAGCAUCGGUCUGCAUACACGGUUCAUGAGGUCCAUGAACGCGGCAGGAGCAUUGGUGAGCCCAAACGGCAUCACCACAAACUCGUAAUGGCCAUAGCGCGUCCGAAACGCGGUCUUCUGCAUAUCCUCCUCCCUGACCCUCAUCUGAUGAUAACCCGAACGCAAAUCAAUCUUGGAGAACCAAGAUGCGCCCUGAAGCUGGUCAAAGAGGUCAUCAAUCCUCGGAAGCGGGUAACGGUUCUUCACCGUUACCUUGUUCAGCUCCCGAUAAUCUAUACACAUCCGAUGCGACCCAUCCUUCUUCUUCACAAACAGAAUCGGGGCUCCCCAGGGCGAACUGCUCGGCCGAAUAAAUCCCUUGUCCAGCAGCUCCUGCAGCUGCGUAGACAACUCCUGCAUCUCGGGAGGAGCCAACCGAUACGGUGCUUUGGCUAUCGGAGCCGCACCGGGAACGAGGUCAAUCCUGAACUCCACCUGUCGCUCCGGAGGUAUCCCAGGUAGUUCCUCCGGAAAAACAUCAGCAAAAUCUCGAACCACCGGGACCUCGCUCACGGUCGCCUUACCCGCCUCCCGGGUGUCCAUCACGUACGCGACAUAACCCGCGCAUCCCUGCUGAAGGUAGCGCCUAGCCCUCGCUGCUGAACAUACAGUGGGUCCACACUGCGGCCGCUCUCCAUGAAUCACUAACUCUCCCCCGCUUGGGGUCUUGACUCGCACUAGCUGCUGUGCGCAAUCUAUCACUGCCCCAUUAGGGCUCAACCAAUCCAUACCAAUAAUCACCUUGUUCCCACGCAAUGGAAUGGGAACCAAGUCUACCAGGUAACACUCCUCAAACAGUCGCAGGACACAAUCUCGAAACACCAUCGAUGCUCGCACCGAUCGAUCAUCGGCAAUCUCUACCUCUAACGGGCAAUCUAACUCGCCUGAAGUCUCAUGAAAUCUCUUGCUAAGAGCAAGAGAAACGAACGAUCGGGAUGCACCCGAGUCGAACAAUACCUGAACCGGGAUGCCGUUCACAUGGAACGAUCCUAAUACACAUGUAUACACACGGAGCACAUAUCAAUAUCAUAACAACGUAAAAUAAAAGAUAGAAGGAAGGAAUCAUACCCGUCACCACAUCGGGCGCGGCGCGUGCCUCCUCGGCAGUCAACUGAAAUGCCCGACUCCUCACCACUGGAGCCUCUGCCUUGCCCUGACGGCCAUCCGUGAUCCGCAGGGUCGCUGGAGCUGGCGCCUUCACUGGCGCUGAAGCUGUCAACAUGGGGCAAUUGGCCUUCUUGUGGCCCCUCUGGUUGCAGUGGAAACACAGCAACUCCGAUGUCUGAAUAACGGUCGCAGGAGCAGUGCAAUCCCUGCUGAUAUGCCCAAACUUGCCGCACUUGUAGCAGCCUGACGAUCCCAUCCUGCACGCCCCCUCGUGCGGCCUGCCGCACCUCCUGCAGCGGCUCGGUCCCGACUGGCCUUUCGGCCUCCCAUCUGAUCCCUUGGGCUUCUUCCCCGAAGCCCCCGAUGACUGACCAUCCUCAAGUUUCCGUUUCCGGAUGUGCUCCAAAUCUAUCUCUCUCUCCCUAGCCCUGGCAAUCAUGGAGUCCAGGGUAGGGCAAGCCGAAAAACUAACAUGCUCCCGAAUGUCAGCUCGUAGCAUAUCAUGGUAACGAGUCCUCCUCAUAUCCUCGUCACCUGCAUACUGGGGCACCAAUAAAGCCCUCUCCCGAAACUUGGCGGUGAUCUCCGCCACGGUCUCUGUCGUCUGCCUCAUGUCUAAGAACUCCCUGGCCAGCUGCUGAAGCUCGACCGCUGGCGCAAACUCUGCCCUGAACCUAGCCACAAAGUCCGACCAGGUCAUUGCCUCGAUAGCCGAGGCUCCCAUCGAGUCACCCACUGACUCCCACCAAUCUCGGGCCCGGUCCCGUAAACACCCUGCUGCGUACCUCACCUUCGACCCCUCGGGGCAGAAGCUGAUCAACUGGGCGGACUCGAUAUCCGCAAUCCACCGCCUGGCGACAAUGGGGUCCUUCACCCCAUGGAAAUCCGGCGCACCACUGCUCCUGAAGUCCUUGAAGGACAGUGUGCGAGAUCCUGACUGGCUAGAGGCCAAGUCGCUCCUGAAUGCCCGUAGGCGAUCCUCCAUCAUCUCCACGAUCCCUUCCUUGAUCGACCCAAAGAUGAUGGGGGUCGACUCAAGGAUGCCCCUAGUGAUCUCCGACGUGAUGAACUCACGUAGCCUCUCCUCAAUCGGCUCGGUGCCAGAUCCCGAACCUGACCCCUCUCCUGACCCGCCAUCUGUCGGUCUCGGUCGAAGUACCACCAUUCUGCAAAACAUCAAUAAUAAUCAUUAGUGGUACUGCUACUUUCUGAGGGAUCUCAACUACUUACAGGUUCCUUGGUCUCGUCUUGGCCUUCCUCGGCUCGGGUACGGAUCCUCUGCUUUCAGUAGUACGGGCCCAUACUACCUUCCACAUCUAUCCGUACCUUCUCCGAGGAAUUCCUCGACUCCACCAACUCCCCUCUACUACUGCUACUCUCCGAUAUUCUCACCCUAGGCUUGCCCUAGGGAGAACUCAAGUUCAACACAACUGGUCCUCAGCUGCUGUAGGUCUCCUCAUAAUGCCAGUUAGCCACCACCUAAACACCACCACCUGUGAUGAGGAUUAGAUCAUCCUUCAAGUAAAAGGCCCGUCCCUACAACGGUUGGACUCAAACAAGAGCUGCGCAAUAGGGCCAGUUCCAACACUUUGGGAUUAUUCAACCCCGAUUACAUGUGGUGUGACGUGUUUACCUAGUGGCUCACUCCCAUUACUCAGAAUCCCACCGAGCACGAAGCAAGCAGCAUUCGGAUAAGGAAAAACAGACUCAAGCCAAAACUGUUCUUAGAACAAGAAACGACACUUAACAUAGGAUGCUAAGCUCAUACUAUCAGGCAUAACCUAAACAGGCUACCCUACUGCUGUCUACUCAAUUCUAGCAUGCAAUAUUCAAUAAGCUGUAACAAAUAAACAGGCACAUAAGGCAUCACUCCUAGAUCCUUAGCCUAUUCUAGCAUGCAAUAUUCAUAAAGCUGAUAAACAUAACAUAAACUUGUAUGGGUACUAUGGGGAAUACUUACUUGAGCUCGGCCGGUCGCGCACGUCACACACUUUACUCUUUCUCGUGACUCUUUUCCGGGUUUUAAAGAAUAAUUUCUUUUGGAAAAAUCUUUCAAUCCCUCGGUUUGAGUCCAAACACUCCCGAAGGCGUGUCCGAAUCCCUCAAACCAGGGCUCUGAUACCAACUUGUAACGACCCAAAUUUUUUUUUUUUUUUGAUAUUACUUUAGAAAACAUUAAUAAAUAAAAACAUUGUCUAAAUAAAAAGAAACAUUGUUUGUUCACACCAUAACACAUUGCAACCAUGUUCUCAAAAGCCAAACCGUACAUCCCAUCAAAUAUCAGAGUACAAUCCCAGUAAAUCUCAUAAAUGCGGAAACCGAAGAGUGUGUGUAUGACGUGCCGCUACCGCGCCGGCUCCUUCCCCUUCGAUGCAGAGGUACCUGAAAACAAAACUGUAAACGUAAGCACAAAGCUUAGUGAGUUCCCCCAACGUACCGCAUACCAUACAAACACAUAACAUAUAUACUGCCAGGCUAUUCUGGGGUGCCUGACUACCCGGUACGGCCAUUCUGGGGUGCCGACCUACCCAUACGGCCAUUCUGGGGUGCCGUCUUACCCGUGUCAAGCCAUUCUGGGGUGCUGACUACCCAUCGGUCCUAACAACCGAUCCUCGGGGACUAUUUCACCCCUACUACUACGAUCACAUAUAACAUAACAAGCCAGCAUGCAUACAUAUCGUCACAUACUGUCAGACGUAUCUGGGGUGUCUGACUACCCUUCGGUCCGAACAACCAAACUCUACUACUAUCACAUACAGCAUAUCAUGCUAGCAUAUAACAUGUCAGGUACUAGCGAACUUAGAUGAUAUCACAAAGACAAUCAUCUAUCAUACAACUCCUACUGGUGGGUCGGCAUUGUGGCCUUAGACCCACCGCUACUGGAAGGUAACUCACCUCAAAGUAGCUGCUGAACUGAUCGGGAACUAACUGACUGCUGCUGCUCCGGGAGUCCUCCGGCUGCAAUUUCCACGACAUACUCAAUCAAACACUGCUAACUGUCCUUUAG